AAGUCUGCUAAGAGGCAAUUGGACUAAAUAAAAUAUGACCAGUCUCUGCCCUUGAGGACCAGCUUUUGAAAAACACCCCUACCGACCUGAAAGGAAUACACAGGAGAGAGGAAACCCAUUCCACCCCCAGGGAGCAUUCUGGCUAACGGAGAAGGUUGUACAAACUGGCGCCUCAGCAUCCCUCCAGGAAGAAAGCCACAGCUGCCCCACCCUCACCGGGCCCAUGCCUGCUGCCUCAAGGUGUCCCCCUACCAGCUUUAAUCUGGAUGGGGAUCAUGUCCCCCUCCUCGUGGGUUGUCCCCUGUGCUGCUGUCCCACUGGGUCCUAGACAGCCUGCUCUGCACCCUCCCCCCCUGUGCCAUCCCUCUCUCUCUCCCUCCCCUGCUACCUCUCUCUUCUCUGCUGUUUAUUAAAAUAAAAACAUGCAUUAGCUC